AGUGAACGCUGGCGGCGUGCCUAACACAUGCAAGUCGAACGGGCUAGUGCUUCGCACUAGUCUCUUUCUGGGGUUGUUACUCUAAGGCUACCUGCUAAAGUUAUUGCUUUAAAGCAGGGGUUUUAGGAGACUUUCCCCGAAAGGGGCCAGUGCGGAGCACUGGCCAGUGGCGAACGGGUGAGUAACACGUGGGUAAUCUACCCUCGAGUGGGGAAUAAGCUUCCGAAAGGGGGUCUAAUGCCGCAUAACGUUUCAUAACGAUGGUUAUGAAACCAAAGCCCAAAAGGCGCUCGAGGAGGAGCCUGCGUCCUAUCAGCUUGUUGGCAGGGUAAUGGCCUACCAAGGCUAUGACGGGUAGCCGGCCUGAGAGGGUGUCCGGCCACACUGGAACUGAGACACGGUCCAGACUCCUACGGGAGGCAGCAGUGGGGAAUUUUGCGCAAUGGGGAAACCCUGACGCAGCGACGCCGCGUGGAGGAUGACGGCCUCGGUUGUAACUCCUAGUCUAGAGGACGAAGUACCGACG
rnacentral:rRNA from 1 species